GACGGAGGAUGCAAGCGUUAUCCGGAAUGAUUGGGCGUAAGGCGUCCGCAGGUGGCAGUUCAAGUCUGCUGUCAAAGACCGGGGCUUAACUUCGGAAAGGCAGUGGAAACUGAACAGCUAGAGUAUGGUAGGGGCAGAGGGAAUUCCUGGUGUAGCGGUGAAAUGCGUAGAGAUGCGGAGGAACACCGAUGGCGAAGGCAGCCCCCUGGGCCUGCACUGACGCUCAUGCACGAAAGCGUGGGGAGCAAACAGG
rnacentral:rRNA from 1 species